GACGAACGCUGGCGGCGUGCUUAACACAUGCAAGUCGAACGGAAAGGCCCUGCUUUUGUGGGGUUCUCGAGUGGCGAACGGGUGAGUAACAAGUGAGUAACCUGCCCUUGACUUUGGGAUAACUUCAGGAAACUGGGGCUAAUACCGGAUAGGAGCUCCUGCUGCAUGGUGGGGGUUGGAAAGUUUCGGCGGUUGGGGAUGGACUCGCGGCUUAUCAGCUUGUUGGUGGGGUAGUGGCUUACCAAGGCUUUGACGGGUAGCCGGCCUGAGAGGGUGACCGGCCACAUUGGGACUGAGAUACGGCCCAGACUCCUACGGGAGGCAGCAGUGGGGAAUAUUGCACAAUGGGCGGAAGCCUGAUGCAGCAACGCCGCGUGCGGGAUGACGGCCUUCGGGUUGUAAACCGCUUUCGCCUGUGACGAAGCGUGAGUGACGGUAAUGGGUAAAGAAGCACCGGCUAACUACGUG
rnacentral:rRNA from 1 species